UCCAUCUUCAUGAAUGAGAUUCAUGCCCUGACAUGAUAGGACUAAGGGAGUUUGUUCAUCUCUUCUGUGUUGUGAGGAUGCAGAAGGAGAGGGCUGUGUAUGAAGCAGCAUGGAAGCUGUCACCAGGUUUCCUGAUGCCAUUGUUGAGAAUCUGUAUCUAAUCACAUCAAAUAGUCUGGACACCUUAGGAGUCAGGAAUCCCUACUUCUGCAUCUCUAUCCCACUUGUCAGCACCCUCAGUGGCCCGGAUGCAAGAGUGACUCACUAAGUCCCAGGUUUUCUUGGUUGGUAUUCCAGAGCCUUCAUCCAGCAGCUGAUGGAAGCAGAAGCAGAGAUCCACAGCUGAACACCAAGCAGAACUCCAGGAAUCCAGUGGCAGAGAGGGAAGAGUGAUGAGCAAAGGGGUCAGGACCAGACUGGAGAAACCCAUGGAAACAGCUGACCUGAACAAGGUGUUGCUCAUGGACCCUAGACUGAUAGCUGGGAAACCAGCAUAGGACUGUUCCAAACCCCCUGAGUGUGGAUGUCAGUUUGGAGGUCUGGGCAAUCUAUGGGGUCUCUGGUAGUGGAUCAGUAUUUAAUCCCUUGUGUAUGAAUGGACUUUGGGAGCCCAUUCCACAUAGAGGGGUACUCUCUCAGCCUAGACACACAGGGGAGGGUCUAGGCCCUGCUCCAAAUGAUGUGACAGACUUUGAAGGUCUCCCAUGGAAGGCCUCACCCUACAUGGGGAGCCCGAAGGAGGUUGGGAUGGAGGGGGCAGGGGAGGAAGGGAGGGAGAGGGAUUUGGGAUUGAAGUGUAAAAGAAGCUUGUUUCUAAUAAAAGAAAG
rnacentral:lncRNA from 1 species